rnacentral:rRNA from 1 species
AAUAUUGGUCAAUGGAGGCAACUCUGAACCAGCCAAGUCGCGUGAAGGAUGACUGCCCUACGGGUUGUAAACUUCUUUUUUAAGGGAAUAAAGUGAGCCACGUGUGGCUGUUUGCAUGUACCUCACGAAUAAGGAUCGGCUAACUCCGUGCCAGCAGCAGCGUGAAUACGGAGGGUACGAGCGUUAUCCGGAUGUAUUGGGUUUAAAGGGUGCGCAGACGGAAUGUUAAGUCGGCGGUGAAAGUUUGCAGCUUAACUGUAAAAUUGCCGUUGAAACUGGUUUUCUUGAGUGUAUAUGAAGUAGGCGGAAUUUGUAGUGUAGCGGUGAAAUGCAUAGAUAUUACAAGGGACUCCGAUUGCGAAGGCAGCUUACUAAAAUACAACUGACGCUCAGGCACGAAGGCGUGGGUAUCAAACA